UCCUCCUCUCUCUGACUCUCUCUCUCUCUCGCUACAGCUCUCUGCUCUUAUCGAUCUUCUCUUCCAUGGCCACCCCGACCUCUACCACCUCUCUUAUUUCCUCUAUUAAUCACUCUAUAACGAUAUGGUGGUGGUGGAAUCACUGGGAUGGCUGACGGAGUCGACCAUAAUGCCAAGAAGCACCGCGCGACGGCGUCGGAGCCUCUUCGAUCAUGGAGCUCAAAGCCUAGCUUUACCAGUCUCAAGAAGAUUCCAAGAAGUACAAAGACCUCGCAGACCCCGACGCCGAGUUCCACCGCGCUAAGUAGAAGAUCACCGC
rnacentral:lncRNA from 1 species